rnacentral:rRNA from 1 species
UACGUAGGCAGCGAGCGUUGUUCGGAGUUACUGGGCGUAAAGGGUGCGUAGGCGGUUUUCCAAGUUUGGUGUGAAAUCUCCCGGCUCAACUGGGAGGGUGCGCCGAAAACUGGAGGACUGGAGUACCGGAGAGGUAAGCGGAAUUCCUGGUGUAGCGGUGAAAUGCGUAGAGAUCAGGAGGAACACCUGUGGUGUAGACAGCUUACUGGACGGUGACUGACGCUGAGGCACGAAAGCGUGGGUAGCAAACAGG